GGGCAUGUGCAUUCAUUUGAUUCCAAUGGAUAUUGCUAAACUGCUCUUUAUAAACGCUGUUCUUAUUUACACAGAUGCCGACAAUGCAUGAGAGUGCCUCCCAUCUUAGGCGAACACUGUGUGUUAUACAACUUUUUGAUUUACAUUAAUGUGAUAGAUGAGAAAAAUGGCAUUACGGUGUGGUUAUACCUCGCAUUUCACUCAUUGCAAAUAAGGUUAGAAAACUUAAUGUGUUUAAAAGCCAUGUGCACUUAAGGGAGCUUUAAAAUAUACAGAUCCUUGCAUCCCAUGCUCAAAAAACUAAUUCACUGAACCCCAAAACUGUAUUUUUAAAAAGUGACUGGGGUAAGGAUUUCUUACAGAGAACAUAAAAAACACUAUCCAUGAAAGAGAAGCUGAUACACCGUCCUUUAAACUAUAAAUGUCCAUUCAUUAAAAGAGAAUGGAAAGUCAACCAACAGACUGGGAGAAGAUAUUUUCAAUAUAUAUAUUCUACAAAGAUCUAGGACCAGCAUAUAUGAAGACAGUCCUACAAAUCAACAAGAACAAUUAAAAAUCAACAACCGAUUUUUUUUUUUUUUAGGUAAAAAAAGACACAGACACUUCACCAAUGAAGAUAAAUGAAUGACCAUAUACAUAUGAAAAGCUUGACUCAUAACUCAUCAGGGAAAGGUAAAUUAAAACCACAGCGACAUACGAUCACCAGUAGCACUCUGGUAUUCAACAAGCAACUUUCCAGGAAUUAAAGCUUUUCUUUGGCAUCAAUACUCCCAUGAGGGCUGACGUUAAGCCGCCAAGGUGACUUCGCUGAUCGCAUAAUGAGGAAGCGAUGUAGACAAUGGACGUUUACAAGCCACACAGGCUGGUUCCAGCACAUCACUGAGACCACUACACAACUGCCGUGAAGGCUAAAAUGAAAAAGUCUGACCAUACCAAGUACUGGCUUAGUUGCUAACAUCUAGAAGAAAACAGCUUCUGCUCUCUUUCUUCGUCCAAGAGGACAAGACCUCCUGACCAGAAAUCAAGGCACAGCUGAGGCUGACUGAGCAGAUGCUAUUCCCUGCACUGGAAGGGAGGGCCAGCGUCAGGCAUGACCUUUGCUCCUUGGUGCCGCCUCCUUCACCACCCACCGCCAGCCUGCUCACCACCUUGGGGCCAUUAGCAUUUUUAAGGUUCUUAUUCCCAUACACAUCCUGCCCUGGGAUUGUCUCUUCCUCGAGGUAUUAGCACCUUCCACUUGCCUUUUAUCACCCCAGCCCCGCCUGCCUGGGGUCAGCCUUCAAUCCACAAGCGUCUGGGGAAGAGCCAGGAAGCCUGCUCACACUCCUUUCACAGUUCAUCCCUUUCCGUCGGAGGCAUGUCCUGAGGUCCCGAGCCCCCUCCCACCUUUUCUCCCUUCCCCCCCACGAGAGGUGUUCCCAUAAUCAGUAGGCAUCAGUCGGCUCUAAUCAACCCCCUGUUUUGACUAUUUUAGCAGCAAUAAAAGGGCCAUAAAGAGAAAGUCAGUGGGCCCUCUAGGAGCAUGGAUCUCCUUUGCUGUGAUAUAAUGAAAAACACCAAGUGCUUCCUCAGAGCCCUAAGUGACAGCGUGGCAAGCAAAGCUAUUGGAGGAAGCCUAAUUAUGCUAUAAAUUAAAGGCCUUUUUUUUUUUACCCAACAUUAUGACCUUUAAUAAGAUUGUUUUUACAACCGGCUGUCAAUAAAUCAUGCAGGAGCACCAGUA